GGGGGGCUGGCGCAACGGCAGCGCGUUGGAUUCCAGCUAUGUGUCUCGCUUCAGAGCACGUCGCAACCCAAAGGUUAUCCGUUCAAAUCGGGUGUCCCUCA
rnacentral:tRNA from 1 species